rnacentral:tRNA from 1 species
UGGGGGAUAGUUUAGCGGUAGAACUCUCGGCUCUGGACCGGGCAGCCCUGGUUCGAAUCCAGGUCCCCCAGCCA